UGAGGAAUUUUCCGCAAUGGGCGAAAGCCUGACGGAGCGACGCCGCGUGGAGGAUGAAGGUUUUCGGACUGUAAACUCCUUUUAUAUGGGAAGAUUAUGACUGUACCAUAUGAAUAAGCACCGGCUAACUACGUGCCAGCAGCCGCGGUAAUACGUAGGGUGCAAGCGUUAUCCGGAAUUACUGGGCGUAAAGAGUGCGUAGGCGGUUUUUUAAGUUAGAUGUUAAAUAUAUGGGCUCAACUCAUAUGCUGCAUCUAAUACUGGAAGACUUGAGAGUGGAAGAGGCAGAUGGAAUUCACAGUGGAGCGGUAGAAUGCGUAGAUAUUGUGAGGAACACCAAUGGCGAAGGCAGUCUGCUGGGCCACUUCUGACGCUGAGGCACGAAAGCGUGGGGAGCGAU
rnacentral:rRNA from 1 species